rnacentral:tRNA from 1 species
GUGGGUGUAGCUCAGUUGGUAGAGCAGCAGAUUGUGGUUCUGCGGGUCGCGGGUUCAAGCCCCGUCACUCACC